rnacentral:lncRNA from 1 species
UGCAGUAGAUCUCCCUGGAUCUGCACCAUUGCUGCAGCAGUCACCUCUUCGGUUUGGCACCGACUCAAUGCAUCGGCCACCUGGUUUUGCCUACCAGGCCGAUGCUCCCAAGCAAAGUCAUACUCCGCCAGCAUCUCUUGCCAGCGCGCCUGCCUGGCAGAAAGUUUGCACUGCAUCUGGAAGAAAGUGUUGGCGACAUUGUCGGUCU